UUUCAGACGCUGGGGAGCGGCUGUGGGUGAACCGUGGCCAGGGACUGGGAGGUGUGUGCAGACCGGCAGAGGCCGGGAAGGAAGCUGUGCUCGAGGGAGGCAGAGACAAGUCCAGGACGUGGCGCUUGCUCAGGGACAUCCAGUGAGGCACUCGGUGACAGCGCCCUUCCUCUGCUCUGUCUGUCCUCAGCUUUCCCAGAAGACCGUGGUUCUGGAAAGGGAUGCCGGCCCAGGUAACCAGGGCAGGUGCUCCAACUGCCCUGAGUCGGACUGAGCUCCAGGCAUUCCCCAGGCACUUAAUGAGCACCUGCUGGUUGCUGGAUGAUGAGUCUGGGGCUCAAAGCAAGAAGCCAGCGGCACCCAGCCAAGCUCCGAUUCAGCCACACCUGCGCUGUUCUGCAGCCGAGUCUCUGUCCUGCACAGCGCGGACACCCGCAUCCGCCACGUUUGAAAUCAGAAGGC